UAUCAUUCUUCUCGUUGGUUU
rnacentral:piRNA from 1 species